UACGGAGACAACUGCCUAAGGCAGGACUGGUGACUGGGGUGAAGUCGUAACAAGGUAUCCCUACGAGAACGUGGGGAUGGAUUACCUCCUUUCUACGGAGUACACCUUUCAGUUUAGUGCUGAAAAAUACAACAAAAAUUAUUAAAUAUUAACGACAAAUAAUAGGUCAUGUCAUAUAUCUAGUUUUGAGAGAACUUUCUCUCUUUGUUCUUUGAAAACUGAAUAGUAAAGUAAAGAUAUUAAAUUAAUAUAACAACGACAUCAAAAAAUAAAUUAGUCAAUUUGUUUUGUGAUACCGAGUUAAUUAUUAUUCUAAAAAUAAUAAUUUAUUGAAAUGUCUUUGAAUACAUCAAACAAAUAGGUAAAUAUUGUUACAACUUUUAAAUAAGUAAGAGUUUGUGGUGGAUGCCUUGGGUCUGAAAGUCGAUGAAGA
rnacentral:sRNA from 2 species